AUCCAGCUGACGAGCCCCAAAUAUGACGAAACGCUUGUCCCGGAU
rnacentral:hammerhead_ribozyme from 1 species